GUAAGCUACUAAGAGUAAGUGGUGGAUGCCUUGGCUAGUAGAGGCGAUGAAAGACGUGCCAGGCUGCGAUAAGUCUCGGGGAGCCGUCAAGGGGCUUUGAUCCGGGAAUUUCUGAAUGGGGCAACCCAAUACAUAGCGAUAUGUGUUACCAUUAACGGAGCCAACGCGGGGAACUGAAACAUCUAAGUACCCGCAGGAAGAGAAAUCAAUAGAGAUUACGCCAGUAGCGGCGAGCGAACGCGUAAGAGGGCAAACCACUAGUUUACUAGUGGGGUUGUAGGACCGCAACAUAGACUAGGAUCUGAUAAUAGAACAAUCUGGAAAGGUUAGGCAUAGAGGGUGAUACUCCCGUAUAUGAAAUCACAUCCUUACUUAGCGGUAUCCUGAGUAGGACGGGACACGUGAAAUCCUGUCUGAAGCCGGGUCGACCACGAUCCAACCCUAAAUACUACUACUAGACCGAUAGCGUACAAGUACCGUGAGGGAAAGGUGAAAAGAACGGCGGUGAGCCGAGUGAAAUAGAACCUGAAACCGUUUGCUUACAAUCAUUCAGAGCACUAUGCUAUGCUCUUUAAAAUUAAUCCAGCUUGGCUUUUUAGCCCUUUUUUAUGAAACUGCGACUGCGGCAGCCGAAUCUGGCUAGCCUUGCCUUGUUUCAUAAAAAAUCAUCUAAAAAUCCUGCGCAUUUGAAAUUCUAAAUUUUAAAUCUAAUAAAAUUCAUCAUAAAUGACACAAGUAGAAUUUUAUGGUCUAAAUUUUAGAAGUAACGAUUAGCGAUUAGUUUUAAUGAGUAUAGCAGUGUGAUGGACUGCCUUUUGCAUAAUGAGCCUGCGAGUUGUGGUGUCUGGCGAGGUUAAGGAAACCCGGAGCCGUAGCGAAAGCGAGUCUUAAUAGGGCGAUUAGUCAGAUGCUGCAGACCCGAAACGAUGUGAUCUAUCCAUGAGCAGGUUGAAGCCGGUGUAAGAGCCGGUGGAGGACCCAACCGACGGCCGUUGAAAAGGCUCCGGAUGACUUGUGGAUAGGGGUGAAAGGCCAAUCAAACAUCGUGAUAGCUGGUUCUCUCCGAAAUAUAUUGAGGUAUAGCGUCGUGUAGUAGUUAUAAGGGGUAGAGCACUGAAUGGGCUAGGGCAUACACCAAUGUACCAAACCCUAUCAAACUCCGAAUACUUAUAGCGUAACCACGGCAGUCAGGCGGCGAGUGAUAAAAUCCGUCGUCAAGAGGGAAACAACCCGGACUAACAGCUAAGGUCCCCAAAUCUCAUUUAAGUGGAAAACGAUGUGAAGUUACUGAAACAACCAGGAGGUUGGCUUAGAAGCAGCCAUCCUUUAAAGAUAGCGUAAUAGCUCACUGGUCUAGUGAUUUUGCGCGGAAAAUAUAACGGGGCUAAAAUGAGUACCGAAGCUUUAGAUAGUGUCUAUGAUUAUUUAUACUAAGCUUGUCUCUUUGGCAUCUUUAAAUGAGCUUCAUUUUUUCUCCUGCGGCAACCUACACGGUUAGCCUUAGUCGAAAAAAUAUCAGCAACAUUUAAAUCUGCUCAAAGAUACUUCGCUUCUUACAUUAAAAUUUAAAUGCAAUGUCUUGAUUUAAAUUUUAGAAAUUUCAAAAUUUCUUAGAAUUUUAAAAUUUAGUAACAAAAGCAAAAAGAUAAGCCUAAGUAAAGUAUAAAUACUCAUAGACACUGUGGUAGGAGAGCGUUCCAAUCAGCGUCGAAGCCGUACCGGUAAGGAGCGGUGGAGCGGUUGGAAGUGAGCAUGCAGGCAUGAGUAGCGAUAAAAUACGUGAGAAUCGUAUUCGCCGUAAACCCAAGGUUUCCUACGCGAUGCUCGUCAUCGUAGGGUUAGUCGGGUCCUAAGCAAAGUCCGAAAGGGGUAUGCGAUGGAAAAUCGGUUAAUAUUCCGAUACCGAUAUCAGUGUGCGACGGAAGGACGCUUAAAGUUAGUGGAGCUAGCGGAUGGAAGUGCUAGUCUAAGGAAGUAGGUUGAGUUAUAGGCAAAUCCGUAACUCUUUAUCCGAGAUCUGAAAGGCUUCUGACGCUCUUCGGAGUAGAUGAAGAAUCCAUGAUACUAUCGAGCCGAGAAAAGUUUCUAAGUUUAGCUGAUAUCGCCCGUACCGUAAACCGACACAGGUGGGUGGGAUGAGUAUUCUAAGGCGCGUGGAAGAACUCUCUUUAAGGAACUCUGCAAAAUAGCACCGUAUCUUCGGUAUAAGGUGUGCCUAGCUUCGUUAAGAAUUUACUUCGUAAGCGAAGAAGGUUACAACAAAGAGUCCCUCCCGACUGUUUACCAUAAACACAGCACUCUGCUAACUCGUAAGAGGAUGUAUAGGGUGUGACGCCUGCCCGGUGCUCGAAGGUUAAUUGAUGAUGUUAGCUUAUGCAAAGCAUCUGAUCGAAGCCCGAGUAAACGGCGGCCGUAACUAUAACGGUCCUAAGGUAGCGAAAUUCCUUGUCGGUUAAAUACCGACCUGCAUGAAUGGCGUAACGAGAUGGGAGCUGUCUCAAAGAGGGAUCCAGUGAAAUUGUAGUGGAGGUGAAAAUUCCUCCUACCCGCGGCAAGACGGAAAGACCCCGUGGACCUUUACUAUAGCUUGACACUGCUACUUGGAUAAAGAUGCGCAGGAUAGGUGGGAGGCUUCGAUUCGUAGAUCUCGGUUUACGAUGAGCCAUUGUUGAGAUACCACUCUUCUUUAUUCGGGUAGCUAACUAGCCUAAGUUAUCCUUAGGUAGGACAAUGUCUGGUGGGUAGUUUGACUGGGGCGGUCGCCUCCCAAAAUGUAACGGAGGCUUACAAAGGUUGGCUCAAAGCGGUUGGAAAUCGCUUGCAGAGUAUAAAGGCAAAAGCCAGCUUAACUGCGAGACAUACACGUCGAGCAGAGACGAAAGUCGGUCUUAGUGAUCCGGUGGUUCUGUGUGGAAGGGCCAUCGCUCAAAGGAUAAAAGGUACCCCGGGGAUAACAGGCUGAUCUCCCCCAAGAGCUCACAUCGACGGGGAGGUUUGGCACCUCGAUGUCGGCUCAUCGCAUCCUGGGGCUGGAGCAGGUCCCAAGGGUAUGGCCGUUCGCCAUUUAAAGCGGUACGCGAGCUGGGUUCAGAACGUCGUGAGACAGUUCGGUCCCUAUCUGCCGUGGGCGUAAGAAGAUUGAGGAGAGUUGACCCUAGUACGAGAGGACCGGGUUGAACCGACCACUGGUGUACCGGUUGUUCUGCCAAGAGCACCGCCGGGUAGCUAAGUCGGGAUGCGAUAAGAGCUGAAAGCAUCUAAGCUCGAAGCCGACUCCAAGAUGAAUCUUCUUUUAAGAGCUCUAGUAGACUACUAGUUUGAUAGGCCGGAUGUGUAAUGGAUGAAAGUCCUUUAGCUGACCGGUACUAAUAGCUCGUUUGCUUAUCUUU
rnacentral:rRNA from 1 species